rnacentral:rRNA from 1 species
UAGGCAAGAUUACCCGCUGAAUUUAAGCAUAUUAUUAAGCGGAGGAAAAGAAACUAACAAGGAUUCCCUCAGUAAGGGCGACUGAAGCGGGAAAAGCUCAGACUGAAAAUCUUCGGAAUUGUAGUCUGGAGAGGUGUGACCAGUUGCGAAUGUGGACUAAGUCUCCUGGAACGGAGCGCCAGAGAGGGUGACAGCCCCGUUCAUGUCUAUGUUCAAAGCGUACGGUCUGCCUUCUACGAGUCGAGUUGUUUGGGAUUGCAGCUCUAAGUGGGUGGUAAAUUCCAUCUAAAGCUAAAUAUUGGUGGGAGACCGAUAGCGAACAAGUACCGUGAGGGAAAGAUGAAAAGAAUUUUGAAAAGAAGGUUAAAGAGUACCUGAAAUUGCUGAAAAGGAACCGAUGGGAGGUAGUGUUAGUUCAUUUCCGUUUACGGGUUUGGACAAGUUAGGCUUCCUUCUUUAUGUGAGAAAAGCUUCGUUAGCCAUCUGGCGCGGAUUUGCUGUCAUGUGAAGGAGGGACUCUAACGAAAUGCCUCUUAUCAUCCCGUCUUGGAACACGGACCAAGGAGUCUAACAUAUGUGCGAGUAUGCGGGUGUGAAACCUGUGUGCGUAAUGAAAGUGAAGGCGGCUUGCUUCGUGCGGCUGCUGAGGUAGGAGGGUGGCGCUUCGUGCGUUGCCUGCACUAUCCACCGAUCAUGAUUCUUUGAUGAAAGAUUCGAGUGUGAGCAUAGAUGUUGGGACCCGAAAGAUGGUGAACUAUGCCUGAGUAGGGCGAAGCCAGGGGAAACUCUGGUGGAGGUCCGUAGCGAUUGUGACGUGCAAAUCCAUCGUCAAAUUUGGGUAUAGGGGCGAAAGACUAAUCGAACCAUCGAGUAGCUGGUUCCCUCCGAAAUUUCCCUUAGGAUAGC